UACGUAGGUGGCAAGCGUUGUCCGGAAUUAUUGGGCGUAAAGGGCGCGUAGGCGGUCUGCUAAGUUGGAUGUGAAAACUCUGGGCUUAACCCAGAGCCUGCAUUCAAUACUGACAGGCUAGAGUUCUGGAGGGGAUAGCGGAAUUCCUGGUGUAGCGGUGAAAUGCGUAGAUAUCAGGAGGAACACCGGUGGCGAAGGCGGCUAUCUGGACAGAAACUGACGCUGAGGCGCGAAAGCUAGGGGAGCAAACAGG
rnacentral:rRNA from 1 species